rnacentral:piRNA from 1 species
AUAGAUUGCUCACUGCAAAGAGGU